rnacentral:rRNA from 1 species
GACGAACGCUGGCGGCGUGCUUAACACAUGCAAGUCGAACGGAAAGGCCCUGCUUUUGUGGGGUGCUCGAGUGGCGAACGGGUGAGUAACACGUGAGUAACCUGCCCUUGACUUUGGGAUAACUUCAGGAAACUGGGGCUAAUACCGGAUAGGAGCUCCUGCUGCAUGGUGGGGGUUGGAAAGUUUCGGCGGUUGGGGAUGGACUCGCGGCUUAUCAGCUUGUUGGUGGGGUAGUGGCUUACCAAGGCUUUGACGGGUAGCCGGCCUGAGAGGGGGAACGGCCACAUGGGGACUGAGAGACGGCCCAGACGGCUACGGGAGGCAGCAGUGGGGAAUAUUGCACAAUGGGCGGAAGCCUGAUGCAGCAACGCCGCGUGCGGGAUGACGGCCUUCGGGUUGUAAACCGCUUUCGCCUGUGACGAAGCGUGAGUGACGGUAAUGGGUAAAGAAGCACCGGCUAACUACGUG